AGAACCAGGUAGCAGCGUAAUGGAUGCAGAUGGACCGCGGGUCAUAAACCACCUGACCGGACUGACUCACGUACGUGGAACAAUCAACAGUCUAUUUUUGUCACGGUACUCUUUCUGUGACUGAAUAACUGGAAGACAGAUAGUUUUUGGGGGUCAACAAAGCUCCAGUGAUCCUUUCUACAACUUACAGACAUAACUCAAAGAGUAAAAGAUAAAGGCAACAGGGUCAACCUUGGUCAGCUCAGACUUCAGAGUGGAUGGGGAGAACGUAGCACUCAGACGGAGGAACCAAGCCAGUUUUAUGACUGACGGAUUGAGAUGAUGCAGAAAUAUGGUGAAGGCAAACAAGUAUUCAAGCACUUUUAUUUAUUUAUAUUGU